GAUGAACGCUAGCGGCAGGCUUAACACAUGCAAGUCGAGGGGUAUAGGUUUUCGGACCUAGAGACCGGCGCACGGGUGCGUAACGCGUAUGCAAUCUACCUUUCACAGAGGGAUAGCCCAGAGAAAUUUGGAUUAAUACCUCAUAGUAUAGCAGUUUCGCAUGAAACCACUAUUAAAGUAUCAACGGUGAAAGAUGAGCAUGCGUCCCAUUAGCUAGAUGGUAAGGUAACGGCUUACCAUGGCUACGAUGGGUAGGGGUCCUGAGAGGGAGAUCCCCCACACUGGUACUGAGACACGGACCAGACUCCUACGGGAGGCAGCAGUGAGGAAUAUUGGUCCAUGGACGCAAGUCUGAACCAGCCAUGCCGCGUGCAGGAUGACGGUCCUAUGGAUUGUAAACUGCUUUUGUACGAGAAGAAACAACAUUACGUGUAAUGUCUUGACGGUAUCGUAAGAAUAAGGAUCGGCUAACUCCGUGCCAGCCGCCGCAGUAACAC
rnacentral:rRNA from 1 species